UGUAUUUAUAUGUGUAUGUAGUAGUAUAUGUAUGUGGGUAAUAGCUUGGAUGCUACAUAUAAUGUUUGUGGCUAUCCUGAUCGAUGGUUUCUUUCAAUACUAUUUGAUCCCGAAAACACCACAUAUAUUA